rnacentral:misc_RNA from 1 species
AAGAAUUUAAAGAGUGCACUUCAUUGUGGCUCGACAUUUUCUACCAUUCACCCUAGUGCACCGUAAUACCUUUUUUAUUAGACUCUACAAAGUUAAUGAAUGUAACACUUUUUAUAAAGAAAUA